rnacentral:rRNA from 1 species
GACGAACGCUGGCGGCGUGCUUAACACAUGCAAGUCGAACGGAAAGGCCUGCUUUCCCUUGUGGAUUGCGGGUACUCGAGUGGCGAACGGGUGAGUAACACGUGAGUGAUCUGCCCCCAACUUGGGUAUAAGCCUGGGAAAUUGGGUCUAAUUCCCGAUAGGACUGCAGGGUGGUGCCUGUGGUGGAAAACGAUUUUCUAGUGGUUGGGGAUGAGCUCGCGGCCUAUCAGCUUGUUGGUGGGGUAAUGGCCUACCAAGGCGGCGACGGGUAGCCGGCCUGAGAGGGUGGACGGCCACAUUGGGACUGAGAUACGGCCCAGACUCCUACGGGAGGCAGCAGUGGGGAAUAGUGCACAAUGGGCGGAAGCCUGAUGCAGCGACGCCGCGUGGGGGAUGACGGCCUUCGGGUUGUAAACUCCUUUCGACCGCGAGGAAGCCACCUGGUUGGAAGGGUGGUGACGGUAGUGGUAGAAGAAGCACCGGCUAACUACGUG